ensembl:lncRNA
GUAAAUGAAGAAUGAAGAUCAAAGAUGGAGUGGAGCACGUGAGUCAAAGGGAUGGAGAAGCAAUUGGAGACUUUUCUGGUUGCAGCAUCUGAGUUUGAUGAGGACCCAGCCUUGAGGAACAAUCUUUCAUGUAGCCCAGCAAUGGAUUGACCAAGCAAAGGAAACACAGUGGACUAGAAAGGAAAAGGAGCAAUACAUCCAGAAGGAACUUGAGUUGAACUCUUGAGGCCAAGUUCUUCUACCUGUACUGAUCCCUGCCCUCAUUAACUUGGGAUGAGAUGAAGAUAUUGCGAGUUAAAUAUGAGUGUGAUCAGGCCCUCAAGCUAUUAGCCUGUGCUCCUCUUCUCAGUUACAGCAAUGUUUCUAGAGAAACUUCCUCUACUCGGUCAAUCAAUACACACUUAUUAAGCACCCACUAUUCACUCGUUUGACAUAAUCACCUUAAGGUGCCUAUACUUGAAGCAAAACUAGACAGAUGGUUCUGCCAGUGUUAUGCCGAUGUUGUAGCAAGUUGAAGCACCUACGUUCUGAUCCUUACCAAGGAUGAGAUCGUGGCUCGGAAAAUUCUUUCUCUGGAUGUGGAUAGUGUUCUUUCACAUAAGUCCCUCAGGAUUGUCCUGGAUCAUUGCAUUGCUACUACUAGAGAAGUCCAUUACAUUCGAUUGUGCUACAAUGUAUCAGUCUCUGUGUACAACGUGCUCCUGGUUCUGCUCCUUUUCCUCUGCAUCAGUUCCUGGAGAUCAUUCCAGUUCACAUGGAGUUCCUCCACUUAGCACAAUAGUUUCCAUCAUCACAAUAGACCACAAUUUGUUCAGCCAUUCCCCAAUUGAAGGGCAGCCCCUCAUUUUCCAAUUUUUGGCCACCACAAAGAGCGCAGCUAUGAAUAUUCUUGUAAAAGUCUUUUUCCUUAUUCUCUCUUUGCGGUACAAACCCAGCAGUGCUAUGGCUGGAUCAAAGGGCAGGCAGUCUUUUUUUUUUUAAACCCUUACCUUCUGUCUUGGAGUCAAUACUGUGUAUUGGUAAGGGCUAGGCAAUGGGGGCCAAGUGACUUGCCCAGGGUCACACAGCUGGGAAGUGUCUGAGGCCAGAUUUGAACCCAGGACCUCCCGUCUCUAGGCCUGACUCUCAAUCCACUGAGCCACGCAGCUGCUCCCGGGGAAGGCAGUCUUUUAGCGCCCUUUGGGCAUAGUUCCAAAUUGUCCUCCAGAAUGGUUGGAUCCAUUCACCACUCCACCAGCAAUGUAUUAAUGUCCAACUUUGCCACAUCCCCUCCAACAUUCAUUACUUUCCUUUACUGUCAUGUUAGCCAAUCUGCUGGGUGUGAGGUGAUACCUCAGAGUUGUUUUGAUUUGCAUCUCUCUGAUUAUAAGAGAUUCAGAGCACUUUUUCAUGUGCUAAUUGAUAGUUUUGAUUUUUUUAUCUGAAAAGUGCCUGUUCAAGUCCUUGCCCAUUUAUCAACUGGAGAAUGGCUUGAAUUUUUGUACAAUUGAUUUAGCUCUUUAUAAAUUUGAGUAAUUAGACCUUUGUCAGAGUUUUUGUUUUAAAGAUUUUUUCACAAUUUGUUGCUUCCCUUCUAAUUUUGCUUGUAUUGAUUUUGUUUGUACAAAACCUUUUUAACUUAAUGUAAUCAAAAUUAUUUAUUUUAUAUUUUGUAAUCUUUAUCUCUUGCUUUUUCUUAUAAUCUUUCCUUUCCUAUAGAUCUGACAA